rnacentral:rRNA from 1 species
UACGUAGGGUGCGAGCGUUAAUCGGAAUUACUGGGCGUAAAGCGUGCGCAGGCGGUUUUGUAAGCCAGAUGUGAAAUCCCCGGGCUCAACCUGGGAAUGGCAUUUGGGACUGCAAGGCUUGAGUGCGGCAGAGGAGACUGGAAUUCCUGGUGUAGCGGUGAAAUGCGCAGAUAUCAGGAAGAACACCCGUGGCGAAGGCGGCUCUCUGGGACGGUACUGACGCUGAGACGCGAAAGCGUGGGGAGCGAACAGG